UACGUAGGGGGCGAGCGUUGUCCGGAUUCAUUGGGCGUAAAGAGCUCGUAGGCGGCUUGUCAAGUCGGGUGUGAAACCUCCAGGCUCAACCUGGAGACGCCACUCGAGACUGUCAUGGCUAGAGUCCGGUAGGGGAUCACGGAAUUCCUGGUGUAGCGGUGAAAUGCGCAGAUAUCAGGAGGAACACCGGUGGCGAAGGCGGUUCUCUGGGCAUGUCCUGACGCUGAGGAGCGAAAGUGUGGGGAGCGAACAGG
rnacentral:rRNA from 1 species